GUGGAAUAAUUUUUGUUUAAGCAUGGCAUGAUACAUAUGUUUUAACAUGACACGUAUGGUUUGCGUGAUUUAUUAAUUAUUUUAAAAUUAAAUGAAUGUGAUAUUGAGAUAUUUGAAACUGUUUUAGAUAUAUGAUUUUAGCUCACUCUCGAGACUGACAGUCUCUAUUUACUGUUUUUCAGAUUCGUGACUGUUAGUCUU
rnacentral:lncRNA from 1 species